ACUAAUGACACGAUUAAUUUUUUUUGGUUGUGAUAAAAUUUAGAAAUUUAAUUAUUAUUUAAUUUUUAGGUGAAAUUAAAAAUUUAAUAACUUAAUUAGAAUAAUUGAUUUCAGUAAAUUAAUUAAUAAACUAGGAUUAGAUACCCUAUUAUUAUUAACUUAAAAUUAAUUCUUUAUGAAUAAUAGAUACGUACUUUAAAGUAAAAAGAGUUGGCGGUAUUUUAAUCCUUUUAGAGGAACCUGUUUUUUAAUUGAUAAUCCACGUUUUAAUUUACUUAUUAAACAGGUUUAUAUAUCGUUGUUUUUAAAAUAUAUUUUUAGGUUAUGUUUGUCAAUUUGUAAAAAAUCAGUUCAGAUCAAGGUGUAGCUAUUAAUAAGGUAAAAUGGGUUACAGUAAUAAUAAUUAUGGAUAAAAACUUAAAAUUUAAUUGAAAAUGGAUUUAAAAGUAAACUUGAAAAUAUAUUCAAUUUGAUUAUGGCUCUAAAAU
rnacentral:rRNA from 1 species